AAAACAAGCUGUUUUCUUUAGAAGCAAUAUCUUAUCUGAACUGUAAUUUGUUUUGUGGAAUGUCUGUAACACGUGCUUUAUGUAUACUUGAAUUACUUGUAUAUGGGAUGAAGGCCUUAAGUACAAUAAACAUCUUUGACUUGA